GGAUAAUCUCUGCCAGCACGGAAAAUUCCAAAGCACUGACUUACUGUUUCAGACGUGGGGAAAACAAACAAACAAACAAACAAACAAAUAAAUGGUUCCAGCUGAUUUAGAGAAAUCGAUUGCUGUGGAAUGCAAGGACGAUCGAGAAGUCUCUGUACACACAGAUCGCUGUGGAAUGCAAGGACGAUCGAGAAGUCUCUGCACACACAGAUAAAGAAGACAAAGGGGAACAUCUUGAUGUCUGUCACAUUCCAGGCAUUCCGUUGUAGUUUUUUUCCUGUCCCAAAUGGCAGGGUUUGAGUAGGCAAGAAGGUGCAUCCUACUGAACAUGGAACCCACCAGCAGGUUGGUGGCCACCAGCUGUGUCCCAGACUUGCAAAGCUGACAACUUGAUCGAUUCCUCCCAAGCCACAGAAGCGUUCCACCUCUUCAAGCUCCUUACUUCUACUCACCAGUCUGGAAGUGAAACCUGUGACCCUUCCUGUUGACGUCUCUGGGGAAUGGCAAGGCUAAGCUGUCUUACUGGGGUUAAAUUCAUUCUUGGAUGAAGCAGAAGUGGCAAAGUUGAAGGAGUAAACAUAACCCAGAGCCACUGAUUCUGAAUGAGAACUCAAGGACGUCAUCUGUCAGUCAGAUGGGAAAUGAAAAUUUUAUUAAAAUAUUCUAGGGAGCCCAGUCUAAGGUCUUUUCUCCAUUUUUAAGAGUGUCCGUGAUAAAUGUCUGAGAAGGAACAGAUUCGGAAACCAAGGGACCAGAAUUUCACUCCUCUAGCAUAACAGCUUCAUAUAGGCUAAAUAUCAUUCAGAAAAAGGAAGAGGGUCUACAAGUCCUUCAGUUUUCCUUCUCAGGACAGUAGUACUGAUACAUUUAGUAGCAGAAAACUAGGCAGGAGACCCUCUUACAUGUAAUGAAGCCCUAAUCUGAACCGCAAGCCAGCUGUUCAGUGCACUGCCCACAGCUACAUUUAGUUCAGGGCUCUGUUGUACCAAGCCUUCCUGAGCCAAUUAAAUAUGACAUUUUGCUCACUCUCUAAUUAAAAUGGAAAUUAAGAAAUGAUUUAUGUUAAGAAAAAAACAGAUUAUGCAGGUUAAUUAAGAGGAAAACAUACCUAGACCCCAAGUUUACUGUUAAGUGGAUUUUAAACAUAACCUGCUGACACUGCUGAAUAUGGAGUCUGAAUGCAGUAGGGUGCUUUAGUGGAAAGGCUCUUUAUCUACAGCAAAUGUUGGAAGGUCCCCAAGGGAGCUCUUUUAUAAUUAUUAAUCUGCUUUUAGAAGUUUGAGAUAAAUUAGCAAAGAUGCAGGUUUUGUUCCCGCCUUUAAAAUUCUGUCUCAUUCUUCUAAUUCUAACAUACACAAUAUCUCAAGUCAGCUGUCUACACAUUUGUCCUGGAAUAAUACAUUCAUAUUAACUGUAUUUGUUAUAACAUUCAGUGUACCCAUCCCAUUUGUAAUUUUCAGUGCUGGUAAUCAGAGCUGACUUAUUGGACACUUGAGAGACUGGACUGCUCCUCAGAGCACUUACAUGAUCUCUCCUCCAUGAAACAAAGGGAAAAAAAAGAAGAAAAAAAAAGGAGUUAAACCGAACUGGCACCCAUACUGAACCUUAGAAAACACCACUUCUGACUUUCCAUCAAAAUGAUUUGCCUCCACUCACAAUGACUCUUUGGAACCAGUCACCCAGCCAGUUACUGAGUGAACAGCAUAUCAAGCAAAUGGGACCUCCCCUGUUAACCAGACUUCCAGAAGAGAGCUGCAUAGUUCCCAAAAGUUUGAGUAGGCUUUCCUAUUCAAGUAUGAUAAGUUCUUUUUCGGGAUAUUUUCUGUAUAAACAGGUACUAAAGGCUGAGAGUAGCCUUCACAGCACUGACCUCAUUUUCUCCUGUUGUUGAGGUAUUCUGGAAUGAAUACACAGUGUUACAGCUCAGGAGAAUAGUAAGGGGUUAAACCUUCCUAUCAGGUGUAAUCAGGAAAUAGCAACUGUGAAGUCUGAAGCACAUGGCAGAGGAAUGACCUAUUUCCACCCAUUCAGAUUUCUAUUUUCAAAAUUCAAUGGAUUGGCUGAAGAAAUAAGUAUUCACCAGCAUCUUAGAUGAUGUAAUACAUUAGCCAAAAAUAACUAGAGUGUAACAGUAGGAACUUAUCUAUUUGGAUGAAUGCAAAUAGAACAGCUUAUAUAGCAGAAAAUACUGUGCCUUUUAAAGUUUCACACUUGUUGGUUCUUCCUGAAUGUAAGGACAGUUUAUGCUCACAACAACACUUGAGCAAAAUAACAUAUGCAACUUGUUUCUGCUGUUGCUCAUUUCAAGUAAAACCCACCUACGCUAACACUCCCACUCCCAUCUGAAUUAAAAAAAAAUAAAUUAAGAUAUAUGUUAGAAGGAAGAUAGGGAACUCUAAUUUGGGAUAAUCAUCCAAUAACACUGAUAUCAGCAGAUUGAGUUAAAAUGGCCAACUCAGAUUCUGGGAAUCUGAGAUUUUGUGAUUUGAUUUAGGUUUUGCUUAUGGAUGCCAUCAGUAAUAAGACACUGUCAGCAUAAAUAUAAGACAUAACAUUCCAACCUGAAAAAGAUCAAUGGAUUAAAGUCCUUACUAAUUUUAUGUGCUUUAGGUAAGAAAGAAAGAUGAAUACCUAGUUGAAAGAGCACUCACCAGUGUUAAAGCUGAAGGAAAACACCGGUGAUGGAACAUUUCAGAGCACAGAGGUCAAUAGAGGUAUUUCCAGACCUCCAUAUAAGACAACCCAUAACAAAUCCAUAUGACUUGUUUCAAAAAGCAGAUUAAUAAACUGUCCUAUAUCAUAAUAUGG